GUCUCAAUAGUGUAGUGGUUAUCACGCUUCCUUCACACGGAAGAGGUCUCCAGUUCGAACCUGGAUUGGGACA